CAGCGACCUUGCCGGUGGACAUGUUGUGACUGUCCAUCCCAAACUCUCCAGGGUCUCUGUCGUGGAGACGAGGUGAGACACUUUGUCUAAGCCACGCCCAGAACCGGUCCUGUCGCACCGCAGGGACAAUGCUGAAGUUUGUUACUAAGGGUGACAUGGAGCCAGCACCCAGCAUGUCAUCAAGCACCCUAUCAACAGACAAAAAAAUGCAUCGUUAAGCUUCAGUGACAUGAUGUGAUUGGAGGCUGGGAAGGGUGCUGGUCCAAAGCCGAACAAAACGCAGCCUCAUUUCCUGCCCGAUGGAGCUCCCAUCCAUCUUAGCAUUAAUAUCCAGGAACUGUUGACCAGUGAUGGCAUAUUCAGGCCAAGUCGCAGGCACCCUCAGGAUUCCUGUGUUGGGGUCCCUGUAGAAAUAACCUUCGGUGUGGUGAAGGGUUUCCCAAACACGAACUGCAGGUCGUCAGCGUGGUCAGACUCCACCCAGUCAUUGUAGGGCUUGCCUGGUCCAGCCAUCAGACUGGGCUCAGACAACAGAUCCCCCCCUCUCCUGAAAAAAAAAGCCCCAGUUCUGAGUCAUUCUGCUGGUGUUCCUGCAACCACAACCGUGCCAGAGGGUUUUCUGACUGUAUAGUUUUGACAUCACAACGUUACAGAAGUCCUAGCAGCUCGUUUGAAGGUUCUGUCUCUGAAUACAGUUGGACGAGUAUUCAGCAAAGGCAACCUCCAAACCAGCCUGCCCCAUCUCUUUGGUAUAAGCGGCAAUGAGCCUCUUCAAAUCUUCUCUGCAGUGAAAUGAAGACAGGAAGCUCUGGAGGGAAUGUCCUGUGAGGUGAAGAGGUGUCCGUCCAUGCUGUUAACCCCUGCGAGGUAGUCAAUGUCAGCAGCGUUGUGGAACAGGUUGCUGGGCUGAUCAGGGAGGAAGUCUCCAUCAACCACAGGAGACAGAAGAAGGUUUUUCACUCCAGGAUCUGAGGAUCCGUCUCAGUGAUGUCUGACGAUGACAUACCUGCUCUGAAACUGUGCGUGGCUUGCUGCUCAUGGCCCAGGGGCAGAAGGCAACACCGCUCUGGGAGAUGGCUCUCUUGAUCAGCCCUUUGUUAUGGGGGGACAGAGUCUGUGUAGGAAUACAUUCAUAGAACAUAAAA